rnacentral:rRNA from 1 species
CCUAUGGGGUGCAGCAGGCGCGAAAACUUUACAAUGCAGGAAACUGUGAUAAGGGAACCCCGAGUGCCCGUAUACGCGGGCUGUCCAGGUGUUUAAAAGUCAUCUGAAGAAAGGGCCGGGCAAGACCGGUGCCAGCCGCCGCGGUAAUACCGGCGGCUCGAGUGGUGGCCACUAUUAUUGGGCUUAAAGCGUCCGUAGCUGGACUGAUAAGUCUCUUGGGAAAUCCGCCGGCUCAACCGGCGGGCGUCUAAGGGAUACUGUUGGUCUAGGGACCGGGAGAGGUGAGAGGUACUCCGGGGGUAGGAGUGAAAUCCUGUAAUCCCCGGGGGACCACCGAUGGCGAAGGCAUCUCACCAGAACGGCUCCGACAGUGAGGGACGAAAGCUGGGGGAGCAAACCGGAUUAGAUACCCACGUAGUCC